GCCCGAGUAGCUCAACAGGCAGAGCGCCUGUCUUGUAAACAGGAGGUUAGGGGUUCGAUGCCUCUCUUGGGCA
rnacentral:tRNA from 1 species